AUGUCACCUGGAGCGUCAUGUUCCGGCGUUCCGGUACCACCCCGCCCGGCCGGAACCCACACAUUCCUCCUGCCGGCGGCUCCCCCGUUCGUCUCAAAGUUCACCAUCAAUCGAAGAGAUCCUCGGACGGCCUCUUCUUGUUUUGGUAAAGCAAUAACGCCAAAGCGCUGCUUUGUCGUGGCCGGCGGACUUACUUGGGUUGAUGGGGUUGAAGAAGAGCUCAUGGAGCUACAAAAGACACAAGAGCAAAGUUCAGGCAAGUUAAAGAAGAGGCCGCCUUUGAGGCGUGGAAAGGUCUAUCCCCAACUUCCUGUACCAGAACACAUUCCAAGACCUUCUUAUGUGGGUGCAAACAUACCACAAGAACUACCCGCAGUUCGCCAAAUACACAAUGCCGAAGGUAUCGCUGGGAUGAGAGCUGCUUGCAAACUUGCUGCCCGUGUACUGGACUUCGCGGGAACAUUGGUUAAGCCAUCAGUUACUACAAAUGAAAUCGACAGGGCGGUGCAUCAUAUGAUAGUUGAGGCGGGUGCUUAUCCUUCUCCACUUGGCUAUGGUGGAUUUCCUAAAAGUAUCUGCACCUCAGUAAAUGAGUGUGUCUGCCAUGGACUACCUGAUUCAACACAGCUGCAGAAUGGAGACAUCAUAAAUAUUGAUGUAAAUGUGUUCCUAAAUGGGUACCAUGGCGGAACUUCCAGAACAUUUGUAUGCGGAGAAGCGGAUGAAUCUAUCAAGCAUUUCCUAAAGGCAGCUGAAGAAUGCUCGGAGAAGGGUAUUUCUGUCUGCAGGGACGGUGUAAACUACAGAAAAAUUGGCAAGAAGAUAAGUAAGCUUGCUUAUUUCUACGGCUAUCAUGUGGUGGAGCGCUUUGUUGGACAUGGAAUUGGAACUAUGUUGCAUUCUGAGCCACUUAUCCUCCAUCAUGCAAAUGAAAACUCUGGUCGAAUGGUUGAAGGUCAAACAUUCACAAUUGAACCUAUACUUACAAUGGACAAAGCAGAGUGUGUUACAUGGGAAAAUGGAUGGACUACUGUCACAGCCGAUGGCAGUUGGGCAGCACAGUUUGAGCACACUGUAUUGGUCACUAGGACGGGCGUAGAGAUAUUGACAAAACUUUGA
rnacentral:rRNA from 1 species